rnacentral:rRNA from 1 species
UACGUAGGAAGCAAGCGUUAUCCGAAUUUACUGGGCGUAAAGUGGGCGUAGGCGGCCUUUCAAGUUGGAUGUGAAAUCUCCUGGCUUAACUGGGAGGGGUCAUCCAAUACUGCUAGGCUUGAGGACAGCAGGAGAAAGUGGAAUUCCCGGUGUAGUGGUGAAAUGCGUAGAUAUCGGGAGGAACACCAGUGGCGAAGGCGGCUUUCUAGGCUGUUUCUGACGCUGAGGCCCUAAAGUGUGGGGAGCGAACAGGAUUAGAUACCCUGGUAGUCCACACCUUAAACUAUGAAUACUUGGUAUAGGGAGUUUCGACCCUCUCUGUGCCGAAGCUAACGCUUUAAGUAUUCCGCCUGGGAACUACGGCCGCAAGGCUAAA